rnacentral:rRNA from 1 species
GAUGAACGCUAGCUACAGGCUUAACACAUGCAAGUCGAGGGGAAACGAUAGAGAAAGCUUGCUUUUUCUAGGCGUCGACCGGCGCACGGGUGAGUAACGCGUAUCCAACCUGCCCACCACUUGGGGAUAACCUUGCGAAAGUGAGACUAAUACCCAAUGAUAUCUCAAGAAGACAUCUGAAUGAGAUUAAAGAUUUAUCGGUGAUGGAUGGGGAUGCGUCUGAUUAGUUUGUUGGCGGGGUAACGGCCCACCAAGGCGACGAUCAGUAGGGGUUCUGAGAGGAAGGUCCCCCACAUUGGAACUGAGACACGGUCCAAACUCCUACGGGAGGCAGCAGUGAGGAAUAUUGGUCAAUGGGCGAGAGCCUGAACCAGCCAAGUAGCGUGCAGGAUGACGGCCCUAUGGGUUGUAAACUGCUUUUAUAAGGGAAUAAAGUGAGUCUCGUGAGACUUUUUGCAUGUACCUUAUGAAUAAGGACCGGCUAAUUCCGUGCCAGCAGCCGCAGUAA